ACCCCAAUAGGAUCCAGUGGAAGAAAAGUCAGGCAAACUCGAGCACGAACACACCACAAGGAGAUCAGAACUUCCAGCUGGCUCUCUGCUGCCACAGCUCCACCAAAGGGUGGGGGGAAUCAGAGGGAGCCUUGCCGGAGACUAAACCCAGAGCUGAGAGGAGAGGCAGGUGGUACAGCUCCUCCCAAGCACUUGACUGAGGACCAAGCAGCUGGUGAGGGGCCACUACGGUCUUCCUUUGAGCAAAGUCAGCAGGAAGCUGGCACUGGGUCACACAAGGCAAGAGUCUAGCUGGUGUGAGUUCCAAGGUGCGUCCCUGGAUCAUGAGGUCAUCCCUCUGCUGGCUCCUCCCACUUCUCCUCAUCUUGGCCUCAGCGGCCCAAGGCCAGCCAACAAGACGACCAAGACCCAGACCAAGGCCCCGGCCAAGACCCAGACCCAGGCCGACACCCAGCUUUCCUGAUCCCCAUGAGCCAUCAGAGCCUACAGACCUGCCUCCUCCCCUCCCACCGGGCCCGCCAUCUGUCUUUCCUGACUGUCCCCGGGAGUGCUACUGCCCCUCUGAUUUCCCAUCUGCCCUCUACUGUGACAGCCGCAACCUUCGAAAGGUCCCUGUCAUCCCGUCCCGCAUCCAUUACCUCUAUCUCCAGAACAACUUCAUAACCGAGCUUCCGGUGGAGUCCUUCAAGAAUGCCACAGGCCUGAGGUGGAUCAACCUGGACAACAACCGCAUUCGCAAGGUGGACCAGAGGGUGUUGGAGAAACUGCCCAGCCUGGUGUUCCUCUACAUGGAAAAGAACCAGCUCGAAGAGGUGCCCUCAGCCCUGCCCCGGAACCUGGAGCAGCUCAGGCUGAGCCAGAACCAGAUCUCCAGAAUCCCGCCCGGCGUCUUCAGCAAGCUGGAGAACCUGCUGCUCUUAGAUCUCCAGCACAAUAAGCUGAGCGACGGCGUCUUCAAACCCGACACCUUCCAGGGCCUUAAGAACCUCAUGCAGCUCAACCUGGCCCACAACAUCUUAAGAAAGAUGCCGCCCAAGGUCCCCACGGCCAUUCACCAGCUCUACCUGGACAGCAACAAGAUCGAGACCAUCCCCAAUGGAUACUUCAAGGGUUUCCCCAACCUGGCCUUCAUUCGCCUCAACUACAACAAGCUUUCAGACAGGGGACUCCCCAAGAACUCCUUUAAUAUCUCCAACCUGCUCGUGCUCCACCUGUCACACAACAAGAUCAGCAACGUGCCUGCCAUCAACAACAAGCUGGAGCACCUGUACCUCAACAACAACAGCAUCGAGAAAAUCAAUGGGACCCAGAUUUGCCCCACCGAUCUAGUCGCCUUCCACGACUUCUCCUCGGAUCUGGAGAACGUGCCACACCUCCGCUACCUGCGGCUGGAUGGGAACUACCUGAAGCCGCCCAUCCCACUGGACCUCAUGAUGUGCUUCCGCCUGCUGCAGUCCGUGGUCAUCUAGGCCUUCCUCUGCCCCUGGAGCCCCUGUGACCACACUUGACCCAGGAGCCCAUGCCCACCAUUUGUUUUCUCUGUCUCCUAUACUUGCUCCCACCUUUGCCUUUCUUAUCCCACCUUCCUGAGGCAGGGACAGGCCACAUACUCUGCUGCCCCUGCAGCUUCUAGAGCAAGACGUCUAAAGGCCGUAUUUGGUCCACGCAGCUCAAAGACACACACCACACACCCAAACUCCGGGCCCCAGAAGCAACGCUAUGUGUCUAGAGAUUUUUAUCUUCUCUUCUCCCUCCUCCUCCCCUCAGCCUUCCUGGGUAAGUCUGGGCCAUGGACUGACAUCUGGAUCUUGGUCUUGGCCAGAGCAAGCAGAAGAUGGUCAGGGGCAGCCCCGAAGUGGGGUUUGGAAAGUUCUGCUGGAAAAUGCUCCAUCUUCCAAUAGUGCUGCUUCACUGCCCCAUUCACUGGCACCAGACAUCACACUGGCUCUCUGUCCACCUCUGUUCCCCAGAAAGGAAGGGCAAGGGAAUGGCUGAGGGAGGGUGGAGGGUCAGAGAUUUGCACAAGGGCCUGCGUCAGCUGUCUCAUCAUAGGGACCAGAUGGAGCCCUCCUCCUCAGCACACAGCUUCCUGGCUGGGACGCUCUACUCCAAGAGUAAGAGCAGGGAGUCACAGUCAAGGAGAAGAAUGGCUCAGAAAACUAGGAAUCAGUCAAUGGAGCCCUUAGGGGUGCAGAUGGGUCCUACAGCCCCCUUGGCCACUCUGGACAAGGGGCCCAAUGCCCUGGGGAACACAGUCUCCACAGUGGAGGGUAUGGAGCCUUCAACCCCGACCUGCCAUCUGUUCUCUAUCAGUGGGAAUGGCCCGGUCCUUUCCAUUCCCCAGAAAAAUUCCUGAGAAACUGCUCAAGAAGGGGCAGAGCGCCUGGAAAUCUCCCAGAAGCCUCUUCCACUUGUGCAGAUUAGCCUCGCCUCCUAAGACAAGACACAGCAGUGACACCUGGUGGCUGGUGCUGGUCAUGUCUCCCCCCACCCCCCCACCCCCACCCCCCGCCACCCAUGCUCCUUCUCUUCUCUCUCUGGGAUGAUUUUCCAAGGUCAAGGAGUUGGCCUUGGGUUCCAACUUGACGAGCCAUGGGCAACAUAUGUGGUCACUCUCUCCUUUGGGAUCUAAAGGGCACAAAGGUAUGGAGGCCCCCAGUUGGAGGGCCUGAGCCCCAUCUUGAAUCAGCACAAGUAGGAACCUUGAGGAACCCAGGUGAGGAUAUGAUUUGUUCCCAUUUGCUGCCUGACCUGCAGCCCUUUCUGCGCUCAGCUUCCAAUGGUAAACCAAGGAGGUGGAUCAAGUGCCCUUCCAAGGACACUUUCGUGCUCAUGUUCCUGCAUGCAGCUCCAUCUUUCAGACCAUGCUCUAUGCAGGACAAGCCCGAAAUAGCAUCCCUCUCUCCUGCAAUAAUUUAUUCCCUAUAUGGACCGUCCUUCCCUCAAAGUACCCAUCCUCCCUGCCUGGCCCAGAUAAGCAGGGUGACAGGCCUCCAAGGGGAGCCUGGGCGCCACAAGGCUGACUCGCCUUCACCUUCCCCUUAACUUCCCCUAGGGCAUGCUGCCCCUCUACAGUCCCUUCAGUGUAUGUUGGGGGUGGGGGGGAGGAAUAGUCUAGAAAUAAGUAGGACACAGUGCCUACUCUCAAGUUUGGUUGAGCCAAGUUCCAGAGAGUUUUAAGAAAUUGGAUUAAGCUGGGUCCCAAGGUCAAGAAAUUCCCACUAUACUCUUUUUUCUUUUCACUCUUCUCUGCUAAUUUACAGAAAAUGGGGCCCAUUUCAUCUCCUUCCCCCAUGUUCCCAUACAACUGGUUCGUUCUUCCUAGCUGCAGCUGGUUUCUCCAAGGCUCCUGCUUAAAGUCAAUAUAUUAUUGUGGCUGUAAGCAAUCUGGUGCUAUGGCCUGGAUAAGCCCCCCCUUCUGCACCUUAUUUCUUCCUUGCGCCCUCAGCCCUUCUGGGCAGCACAACUCCCAGGGCUCCCUGGGCGGGGAGGGAUCAUGCCCCUGCUUCUGCAAACCUGAACUGUUUUGUUUUGGCAGCAUUACAUUCAUCAUCAUCCCAUUGCCCCAUCUGGAAGAUGCCUGCUUCCUCCCCUGCUGCCUGCAGCUGUAAACCAGAGGAUAUUAAACUAGUUUUACACACACACACACACACACACACACACAUAUUUGUGGUCAUUUCCCUUGGGAUUAAGGAAGCCCCCUCCUCCCCACACACAAAUUCAUUCCCUCAGUGCUGCUGGCAUAUGCAUACACAGAUGUGUAAGUAGGUGUGCAUGUGUACUCUGUACAUAUAGCUAUUCUUUCCUGAAGACCAUGCUAACUUUAUGAAACUACUUUCACAUUCCAAUGUGCUUCACAGCAGAGGAAAUAAAGUGAUAUGAAAAA
rnacentral:lncRNA from 1 species